UGUUUUGUAGGAGUUAUGAGUCAAGGCUGACAAUGUUUUAAUCACAGGUAUUUUAAGUCACCUGUUGUCCAGACCUUGUCAGCUGAAUAGCCUGUUGUGCUAAAGGUUCACCACAGAGAAGGCAGUGGUUAACGCUGAGUGGGCCUAAACAUCUGAUCCAUAAAUGAGGUGGAGUCAGAGCUGGGUUGAGUACUUACUGCAUUGUGUGAGCAAGCCCUCACCAGAUUAAACCAUCACAUGGAGGACACUUCACAUGAAUGCACUUGUGGAUUUUCUGUAGCUAUUCGAAGGCCUGUUUCACUGCGUGGCGUCAACCCUCCUCCGCCAAUGUAGGAGUGUCUCUGGAUGACGAAGGCAGAGUUAUAGCUCUCAAUCUGGAAUGCUGCCCUACUUGGCAGUUCACGCCUAAGAAUCUCAGCUCUGUAACCUCAGGUCAAUUUUGGUUGGAAUUUUCCCCUCGUUCUGUUUUGGUUGAGUCAUUCAAAAAAGCCAACACAAGAUUGAUUACAUUUUUCCAUUAACACUGAGUCUUAUAAACAACCAUUGAAAGGGUCUAAAUCUAAAAAUUCAGAUCCUCAGCCUCUUAAAGAGGCACUGCACUGAUUGAAGAUCAAUUUGGAUGCAAUGGGAUGUACUAUACAGUUGUAUGAUGUCUGAGGCUCUGGUGAAACUUUGCCAAGUCUGAGAAAUUAACCCUGGCAAUGUCACUGAGGUCAUCAGGUUUGUCUGCUUCAGUUGGGAGACUUAAAAUCUUUUUAGAGUCUGUGUUAUAGACUUGAGGCAUGGAGUUUAAAAGACCAGGCAGAAGGCUUUUAUAAUCUGCUUUUAGGCCUGACUAGAAAACAAAAGUGAAGAUGGAAGCAAAUAAACAGCAAAAAGGUGUACUGUAGUGUCUGUGGAUCAAGAGAAAAUAACAUGAUCUCCCUGGUUUCUUAAAACUAGAAGGCCACUCUGGAGAGCGCAGACCUCUGUCAGGGCCAACAGUCUGGUCUUCUUUGAUGCAACCACUAUAUAUGUCUGGAUCUAUUUCCAAAACUAUAGAAUUAGUGUGUCAAAUUAUGGUUGUGCCUAGCUGAAGCAUCAGCUCAGCUGUGCAUUUAUUGUGUGCUGUGUGAAUAUAUAUGAAUAGUGCUAUGUAAAAAAAUAAUUUUGUAUCUGCCAUGUGAUUUUCAUUGGCCAAUGCUACACUUUUCCACCAAGUUUUAUGGAAAUCAGGCCAGUAGUUUUUCCUGUAAUCCUGCUGACAGACAAACAAAUGGCACAGAAAACAUAACCUCAUUGGUGGAGGUGAUCACCUAAAACUGUCAGAACAUUGUAUGGAUUAAAACACUUCCUCAGCCAAAAAAUCUAAUCUAUAAU